GUGAGAUGAUGAAUGUGCCUGUAUCUUACCUGUAUCGAAGAAAGAAUGAACUUACCAUGAGAAGACUGUUUGCCAGCAGUGGUUGAAGAAGCCCCUUUGACAUCAAGGCUGUCAUGCCACUCAUGUGUCAUUAUAUUACAGUGUGAAUGAGGGAUGGCCAUCCAGUGACCAACGGGGAUUUACUGCCUUGAAGGCACGCAUGUGUGUGAUUAAGGGAUAUACAUGCAUGACUCCAGGAUUUACUUCCUUCCUGUCCUACAGAGUUACUGAAGGGAGUGAGUUAUGGGAUAAUUUAUAACGCGGCAGGCCCUUCCUCAAGACAGCCCUCGUCAAAACAGGAAGAUGAAACUCAGGUUUCACCAAGGAGACCACAGCUUGGGAUACUGUCUGGACGUACCUCUUAAUUACAAGCAGAAAAGUCUUCAAACUUUUCCAUUUCUAACGCCCAGGCCCCGCACGAGAUAUCUACUGAAAGGUGGAGCAAUCUAGGGGAGUCCAUUCACUAUUUGUGGAGCUCUGUUUGUGGAUGUGGAUGUUUUGAACUCUUCAGCCUCAGACUUGGUGUCAGUAUUACCAGCUGAAGUCGUGGGCUGUUGCCAGCUUCAACUUCCUGCCCUGGUCCCAGCUUGGACUGUUUGCUGAGCGAGGAGAGUGUCACGUGACAUCUGAAAUGAGUCUCAUACCGACUUCUGACACACUGGUUUACUCUUUGGUGAUACCACACAUGCAGUUGUUUCCUGUGGUGCUUGUAAAUAUCCUGGACGCGCAUCUGACACUGAGCUGUGCGUCUGAAACCUUUAAGUUGCCUUUGAACUGAGGAUGCUGUUCUGCAAGUUGAAGAAAGCAGCAGAGAAAUCAAAGACUACACUGCCAUCUUGGUCUGAAGGCGGUGUUUCAGAGGCAAGCCUGUGCAUUGUCAAAGAAGGCAGCCAGAUGCAGCUAGCUGGAGGCACUAACCGCAUGGAGCCUGGGGUCAGGCAUGAGGAGGAAGAGGGAAGCUGGCUGGUCUAUAGUUGUCCAGAGCCUACAGUUUAGACUCCUUCGAAAGAUUAAGACUCAAAAUAAGAUUGAAACAUGCUCUUUUUAUAACUGCUUUCUCUGGAAAAAAACAAUGAUGAAAGACUUCCUGAAAGGAAUUUGUUGUGGAAAGAACAAUCUUGUAUAUUUGAGUUAUUCAAGCACAAACAUGGGAUAAUGAGAAAUAAACCCAGGGUACAUUGUAGGAAGGUUCCCUGCCACUGAGCCACAUCUCCAGUCCCCUCUACAUGAAUUUUAGUAUCACACACAGUUUCAGGAUAUACAGGGGAGAUGUGCUCUAUUGAAAAACUAAAGGCUCCAUCCCUGGACAGCUGAGAACAUGGAGUGCUUUCAUUUUCCCAUGAAUGGCUAUCUCUAAAUAUUAUUUUUGCUUGUCAACUAAAAUCAUUAUUUUCGGUCUUUCUCUGUGUGUCUGUCCACCCAUCUGU